UACGGGGGGGGCAAGCGUUGUUCGGAAUUACUGGGCGUAAAGGGCCUCGUGAGGUGCCAACUAAGUCAGACGUGAAAUCCCUCGGCUUAACCGGGGAAUGGCGUCUGAUACUGGAUGGCUUGAGUUCGGGAGAGGGAUGCGGAAUUCCAGGUGUAGCGGUGAAAUGCGUAGAUAUCUGGAGGAACACCGGUGGCGAAGGCGGGUCUCU
rnacentral:rRNA from 1 species